AAUGAAGGAAAUAUUGAUAUCUCACAUAAUAAACACUGUUUGGGGUCCUCAGUGAUUUUUAAGAGAGGAAACGUGUGAACAGAGUGUGUGAGUUGUACUCAGGCACUGCGUUACGUAUGGCAGGUGCUCAUGUAUGCUUGUGACACUCAUGAGGGACUGACUGAAUAGGUAGCUUUCAGCUGCUCCUAGGAUUUGCAAGCUGAGGCUGGGGUGGAGGGGAGGGAGAAGGUGCCUGUUGAUAGUGGGCCCAGUACCGGGAAGGUGGGACUUGCCAGGGUCUAGGAGCAGCGUUGGCUCUCAUGGCAACACCGACUGGGGAACCUGGGUCUCAGGCAUUGGGGCUGGGCAUAAGUGUGAUGUGCCAUGUGGGCUUCAAGCAGCUCACGCUAUCCAGUCCCCCUUAGUGCUGAAGGGCAGGAACAACUGUCUAAAUCUCCCUCUCUGUGAGAGGAACUGAGCAGAAUGUUUUUCUAGAAACCUCUGGCUGUCAAAUCACUGGGUGUGGGCUCGACACAGAGCACUGCGGCCUCAGUAGACAGAUUGAGGCUGCAGGUACCUCUCCCUGCUCUGCCCUGACCAGCUAUGCGACCGCCGGCAAGGCACUUAACUGCCAGCUUACUCAACCAUAUGGUGAGGAUGAGAUAAAAUGUCCGUGGAGUGCCUGGCACAUGCUGGGUGUGCAGCACAUUAGUGACUCCAUUAGUAAGAUGUCAUUAAUAAUAAAUACUCAAAAGAAGUAGGCUGGGAGGAGGGGCUAAAGAGGAAGGGUCCUUGAGGGAGUACUUCCUGGUGCUCGAUGAGUGACAGUUGAAGCUUGGCAUAGAUCAUGGUUUCUCAGCCUCUGCACUAAUAAUGUUUUGGGCCAGACAAUUCAUUGUUGUGAGGGCUGUCCUGUGCAUUGUAGGAUGUGAAGCAGCUUCCCUGGCCUCUACCCACUAGAUGCUGGAAGGGAAGCACUCUCUCCCUGGUCUUAACAACCAAAAACCAAAAAUGUCUCC
rnacentral:lncRNA from 1 species